CUCUCCUGGUGAGCGCUGAAAAUGAAAGAAAAAGAAGCAAGCCAUCACAUGACAAGGGAAAAGGGCUUCCCAUCCUGUUCAACCAGGACCUAAUGCAAAAGUAAAAAAGGGCUGAUAAGAAACAACAGAAGAAUCCGGUGGCGACUGAAGCCACCAACCUUCCCAGAUUAUUCACUUCUGCCUUCCGCUGCUAAAGAUACCAAACUCCAACAGGAUUGAGGUCUAGAAAGGACCUUCAGGUCCCCCACAGUUGUACACUUCAGCAAGCAGCUUGAUCCAGCGUGCAUCUUUGGAGCUCUCUGCUCUCUGCAGGAUGACUUGCAAGGAGGGUUGAUGUGGGGAGUUGGAUGGGGAUCCAAUCCCUGCCUGGGACUGAAGAGCUGUGUCAGUGGUUCUCCAACGCCCACACACACACACACACAGACUGCUUGAAAACUGCUGUUGGUCUUGGCAGACCACUUUUCUGUCUCUUGCAGCAAUUGUAAUGGACUGUGCUAGAUGCUGUAUGGCUUUUAGUUGUAUUUCCAUUGCUUCUUUUAUUCCUUACACUGCAUUUUACUGUUUGCAAUCCAUAGAACUCAAAUUGUAACACAAUAAAAUGAAAUUUAAGAAAGAAAAGAAGCAGUAAAAUACAAUUAAAAAUCAAGAUGAAUAUUUAAUACAAGCAUGUGGUGGACCACCUGAAUGAAGCCUGUGGGCCCCUAGUGGCCCAUGGGCCACAGUUUGGGAAUGCCUGAGCUAUAUAGUCUCUUCUGAGCUUAUGAGAGCCUGGCUGCACACUAGAUCAGCCUUUCCCAACUGGUGUGCCUCUAGAUGUUGUUGGACCACAACUCCCAUCAG